ACCGAAAGAACAUGAUAACUAGAAUGUGAAAUACCACUUCAUGAUGCGAGCGGACAUUGUGUGUAUACACUCAGCCGUAGCUGUCAUUCCAAGAGCACCACAGUCAAACCACCGCUUGAGGAAAACCUAGGGGACAGGGGUUUGUAGCUGAAGUGGGGUUCUUCUUCAUUAUCUAUCUUCGACAGCUUCUUCUAUCAUCCACUGGCCUUUCGCCUUUCUUGACAGAAAGUUCGACUUCAUCAGGUCCUAAAAUUGGGAUGGACCGAUGGAGAGGAAAUCCUUUCCCCCUUCGAGAGAAAGAUCGACUUCAACGAAGGAUCAAAGUUUGUGCAUUGGCGGGGCAAAUCUAGGGUUCAUUUGUUUCGAUUGACUUUCUUAUCAAAAAACCUAACAAACAAUUUGGAAGGUCAAAAUCUUCGUUUCCAGAUUGCAAGAACAAGUCGCGACUAAGUUCUUUCAUUUCAGACCUUUGAGUUUUUGGAGUUUAUGAGAGAAGAUCCAAAUGGAGGGUACUAUUAUCUGUAGUUAAUACCCAACAUCAAUUUCUUUUAGCAUACUCAUUUGCAUCUGUUGUUAUUUUUUCACUUAACAGCUCAUAGAGGAGUAGAAACCUGGAAAAUUUAAGACUUUCAGCUACUUCUUUUGCCCAAAUCAGAGUAUGGCUUCAAAGAAUACGGAUUGCCACUUCAAAGAAUACGGUAAAACAGUCAUUUACUCUAAACAAAAGGGUGAAAUGGUCGCUUCUUCACAUAAAUAGUAAUAUUUUUUUUUCAAUAGAUGGCUUUCUCCUAUCCAAUUCAACUUAUGACUAUUUUGCCCCUGGUGUUACAUUGGUGAAAUUCAACAUUUGUGGAUAUUACUUUGCAAAAUCUAUUAUAUUAUAGCAAUAUGAUCCAAUUACAAAGCAAAAUUUGUUUU